rnacentral:tRNA from 1 species
GCCUCUGUGGCGCAAUUGGCUAGCGCGUUCGGCUGUUAACCGGAAGGAUGGUGGUUUAAGCCCACCCAGGGGCG